CAGCCGCCGCGGUAAUUCCGGCGGCCCGAGUGGCGGUCACUAUUAUUGGGCUUAAAGCGUCCGUAGCCGGGUUGGGAAGUCCUCCGGGAAAUCUGGCCGCUUAACGGUCAGAAUGCCGGAGGAUACUCCCAGCCUAGGGAGCGGGAGAGGCCGAGGGGAUUCCCGGGGUAGGGGUGGAAUCCUAUAAUCCCGGGAGGACCACCUGUGGCGAAGGCGCUCGGCUGGAACGCGUCCGACGGUGAGGGACGAAGGCCAGGGGAGCAAACCGGAUUAGAUACCCGGGUAGUCCUGGCUGUAAACGAUGCGGACUUUGUGUCGGACAAGCUAUGAGCUUGUCCGGUGCCGGAGGGAAACCGUUAAGUCCGCCGCCUGGGGAGUACGGCCGCAAGGCUGAAACUUAAAGGAAUUGGCGGG
rnacentral:rRNA from 1 species